GGAGGGAUGGCCGAGCGGCUGAAGGCGGCGGUCUUGAAAACCGCUGGGAGGCCUGAGCGCCUCCUCGGGGGUUCGAAUCCCCCUCCCUCCGCCU
rnacentral:tRNA from 2 species